rnacentral:rRNA from 1 species
UACGUAGGGUGCAAGCGUUAAUCGGAAUUACUGGGCGUAAAGCGUGCGCAGGCGGUUUUGUAAGUCUGUCGUGAAAUCCCCGGGCUCAACCUGGGAAUUGCGAUGGAGACUGCAAGGCUAGAAUCUGGCAGAGGGGGGUAGAAUUCCACGUGUGAGCAGUCGAAAUGCGUAGAGAUGUGGAGGAACACCGAUGGCGAAGGCAGCCCCCUGGGUCAAGAUUGACGCUCAUGCACGAAAGCGUGGGGAGCAAACAGG